rnacentral:rRNA from 1 species
UGGCGGACGGGUGAGUAACGCGUGGGUAACCUGCCUCAUACAGGGGGAUAACAGUUAGAAAUGACUGCUGAUACCGCAUAAGACCACAGCACCGCAUGGUGUAGGGGUAAAAACUCCGGUGGUAUGAGAUGGACCCGCGUCUGAUUAGGUAGUUGGUGGGGUAACGGCCUACCAAGCCGACGAUCAGUAGCCGACCUGAGAGGGUGACCGGCCACAUUGGGACUGAGACACGGCCCAA